rnacentral:tRNA from 1 species
AGCUCAGUCGGUAGAGCAUAAGACUCUUAAUCUCAGGGUCGUGGGUUCGUGCCCCAC